UACGUAGGGUGCGAGCGUUGUCCGGAAUUAUUGGGCGUAAAGAGCUUGUAGGCGGUCUGUCGCGUCUGCUGUGAAAAUCCGGGGCUCAACCCUGGACUUGCAGUGGGUACGGGCAGACUAGAGUGUGGUAGGGGAGACUGGAAUUCCUGGUGUAGCGGUGAAAUGCGCAGAUAUCAGGAGGAACACCGAUGGCGAAGGCAGGUCUCUGGGC
rnacentral:rRNA from 1 species